UUCAUCUGCACUGUAACUGUGGCAGUGCAUUGAUUUAAACUCCUUCUGAGAUCUCAAAUGCUUUUAUAUUCUUAGGCCUCUCUGGGCAGCUUUUUAUUCCCCCAAGUGAUAAAAUUCUAGCAUUUAGCAGAAUGCCAUCUUACUUCUCCCAAAAGGAAGAGACUUAUUUCAGCGUUGCUACUAAACUGCACAAGAUCUCUAAAUAAAAUAGCUCCUGAAAUGCCAUUCUAUUAGAAAUUCUGCCUUUGACUUCACACAUUCUAAUAUUCUGACUCUAGCAAUGGGAUAAACAACAAAAAUUCCUCUUGAGUACCUUCGAAAGGUUCUGCAAUGGAUAAGCAGUUUUGCUUUUAUAUUAAUUUGGAUGAGUUUGCUUUGAAAUGUUCCUCACUGAUAUGCCCAGAAGAAAUAAUGACUGCAGAAUCUCUUUCAACAAAAGGUCAUUUAUGUCAAUGGACGAAACACAGAGGAUCAGAUCACCUGCAGUAAUUGCAAAUUAAUGCUCUACUGCUAAUGCAUUAACUACAUAAUAUUGAUCUAAAAUUGAAUCAUACAGGCUACUGUGAAGUGAUUUCAUUUAUCUCCUUAAUAUGCCCAGCACUAGCGAUGGACUGAACUACAAAAGCUGGAUGUAGAUUUUGAGCCCCCAAAAGCUCAGUUAUGCUUGGAUCUAGGAUUUUGAUUCAGCCCAUAAUAAAG